UACGGAGGGUGCAAGCGUUAUCCGGAUUUAUUGGGUUUAAAGGGUGCGCAGGCGGAUUUGUCAGUCAGUGGUGAAAUCCCGAGGCUCAACUUCGGAACUGCCAUUGAUACUGCAAGUCUUGAAUUCGGUUGAAGUAGGCGGAAUGUAGCAUGUAGCGGUGAAAUGCAUAGAUAUGCUACAGAACACCGAUCGCGAAGGCAGCUUACUAAGCCGAUAUUGACGCUCAGGCACGAAAGCGUGGGUAGCGAACAGGAUUAGAUACCCCCGUA
rnacentral:rRNA from 1 species